AUCUUCCUUCAAUUUGUUGAAUAAAUUUUGGCAACAUGUUCUUCAAACAUCUUCUUUGUAUAUUUGAUAUGAUGGAGCCAUGUACAUGAAUGGAUAAAGCAGGACAAGAACUAUAGAAGAUACAGAGAAAUAAUAUACAGCAGAAAUGAUAGGCGAUGUAAAAUUUGCAGAAGCCAACUAAACCUAAAUGGUAAUCAGACAUCUUGGUUUUCAUGAUCAAUAGGUCAUUACUGAAGAGGAAACUUAAAGUUGAAAUUUAUUUACAUAGUGCAUAAUUGGAUUAAUUUGAAAUGGAAUGUGUGCUUUCCUGCAAAAAAGAAAUAGGAAAUUUCAACAUUAUCACAUGAUAAUGACCAUAUAAAACAAAAUGGAGUUCUAUCAUAGAUACACAAAAACACUAUUGCAUAAAAGCAACAACAUAUCUUAAUCAAAAGAAAGGAGAAUGCAGAACAAAUACUAUUUUGUUGUUGAAAAAAGGAACAUCAGUUUUAUCCACUCAUUUACAUUGCUCCCUCAUAUCAAAUAUACAGAAGAAGAUCACUGAAGAACAAUUUGCAAAAAUGAUUUCUCUUAGAAUUGAAGGGAAUUGAUUAGUGAAUGGAAUAAUGUAUUCACUGAAUUCUUACGUAGUGGAUUGAAUAACUGUACACAAGCUGAAACAGAAGAAAUUCUAAUUUAAAAUAACACGAAAAGUGUUUAUUUUAUUAUUUAAUCUGCAAAUAUAUAAACAAAUUCUUUAGAACACCACAAAUGAUAUAAUGACAUUCAAAUUGGUUGCUUAUUAAUGUAUCGCAUUGAAACAAUUACAAAGAAAACAGAAGCAUUUGCUCCAAAAAAAAAUUAUAAAUCUAAGUUAAAUUUAUAUAAAAAGUAUAAACAAUACCUAGAUCUAAAUAGUCAGACUG